rnacentral:sRNA from 1 species
GGAGGUGAACGAGACCCCCGUGGCGGGGCUCACCAUCAGGGACGUGCUGGCCGUGAUCAAACACUGCAAGGACCCCCUCCGGCUCAAGUGUGUCAAGCAAGGAGGAAUUGUUGAUAAAGACCUUCGUCACUACCUCAACUUACGAUUUCAAAAGGGUUCUGUGGACCAUGAGCUUCAGCAAAUCAUUCGUGACAACCUCUACCUCCGCACGGUGCCAUGUGAGUACAAUGGGCAGUAUUAAUAUUUUUGUGUUGAGAGAUAAAUGUUUAGCUAUAUAUUCAUUGAUUAAAAGAAAGUGAAAUUGCACUUAUUUUUUAUAGUGGGCUUUUGGAACAGAAAACUUAUUUGAGAUGUGGCAAUUUUAAGUGCAAACGCUUAUAACUGCAGUAGUAUGGUUUAUGAUGAAGUUGUAGCCAGAAGAGACUUGUGAUUUUCAAGCUAUAAAAUCUAACUUACGUUUCUGAAGUUAGUAUUGAGAAAUAUUGAUUCUAGUCCAGACUGUUGGUGAUUCCGAAUGAAUUAUGAUGGAGAUAGAACUCCACAUUGGGAGACAGGAGAAUGCAAAUUUAAUUUAUUAGUUGAAACAGCUAUUCUGUGAGUAGAAUCUUCACAGUGACUCCCAACCUCAUCUCUUGUUUGCA